rnacentral:lncRNA from 1 species
UGAUGAGGGACUUUUAAACAAUUCCAGUCUACUAAAAACUGGAUAUUUACAUAAGUGCAGAUUAUUGGGAUCCACAGAUAAUUUGCUACCUGCUCAUUUUUAAUGUGUUUGUGAACACUCCUGAGGAACUCAUUAAUUCUAAGUGUCUGUAAGCUUAUUGUGUUGUAAACCAUGGCUGACAGCACAAUAGACACCUCUAAAAGGAAGGGGCCCCUCUGCCAGCCCUGCUGGAUGGAGCUGAAAAGGAGCAGGCAUGCAAAUCAGCCCAGGGAUAAUUGACAGGAUGGCUGGGAUGUACACAGGCCCUUAUCUGAAUGUUAGGAGACGAGGCUUUGGAUCAACUUCUCUCCAGUUUCUCGACUUGAUCCUCUUGGUCACAAAGCAGCUGAUACAGUGCCAUACAUCGCAACCUCACAGAACAACAUCUGGCAGCAUAGUGAAUCCAUGCUCAGCCUUCCCUCAUGGUAUGGCCAAAGCCUGCUGGGAAAAGUGCUGCAAACGGCUUUUGAAAUGCCUUCCAUGCCAUCUGGAGCACAGGUUGGAGGACAGCUUCUGACACAGACCCAGCUCUGAUUCCUGCCUCCGUGACUUCACACCCACUGUGUCUGCUGCCUUUCGGCAACAAGCCCUGUGCUGCCUCACUUUAUUAUGAAAUUAAAAUUGUUUCCGAAG